rnacentral:rRNA from 1 species
GACAGAGGGUGCAAACGUUGUUCGGAAUUACUGGGCGUAAAGCGUGCGCAGGCGGCCUUGCAAGUCGGGCGUGAAAUCCCACGGCUCAACCGUGGAAGUGCACUCGAAACUGCUUGGCUAGAGUCUUGGAGAGGAAGGCGGAAUGCUUGGUGUAGAGGUGAAAUUCGUAGAUAUUCGCAAGAACACCAGUGGCGAAGGCGGCUCACUGGCCCGGUACUGACGCUGAGGUGCGAAAGCGUGGGGAGCAAACAGG